rnacentral:lncRNA from 1 species
GAAUUGCUGAAGUUGUGAAGGUUGAUGCUGUGAAUGCGCUCGGUCAUCCCCUUGCAACUGAUGUCACCUGCAGCAUGUCAACGCAGACACAAAACAGGGCAUGGGUCAGAUCUAGCUGGUUGCAUUCCUAACACCUAGGUUUCAGAGUAAAAAUACAGAGUCAGCUUGUGAUGGCAUUCCCUCAAAACAUGGAAGGAAUUGCAGUAAUGAAAGUCAUCAUGUAUUCUAAGAGACUGUUCUGCGAGAGCACAACACAGACGGGGCUAAAGCAGGGAUUGUCUAAGCCCAGUGUGGAGGAACCAUCAAGGAUUUCAGCACGUUUUUUUAGCCAUUGUGAGAAGCAAAAGUGCUCAGGAGUUAAGAGAAGCAGACGUCCGAAAUUAUCUCCAUGCAUUACCAAAAACCGUGGGCACCACGGCACGGGGAAAACUUACCAGGUACAAUGAGCCAGUGACUGUUACUGAAUUUCUUAAGAUUACACUUUUCCCAACUACUGCAGACUGCUUCAGAAUAGAAGAAGACAACUCUCAUGCCAUCAAGCCGACGGACUUUCAAAAAAAUAAAAGAUGCAUUUCUUUACUUCUUUACUAAGGGAAUUAAUUAUCUGGAAGAACAGGAACAUACAGGCCCAUGAGAAGUAAAAGCAGGCACUGGCAUUCUGCACAGAUGAAAUACUUCCUACGACAGGAAUACAUGCUCACUUGUGGACUUCUCUGUAAUCUGUAGGCAACAUCAGCUCCUGAUUUCUAGGUCUGGAUCUGGGUUCUCUGUAGCACAGGAAGGUCUCUACUUCUCCUACAUAAAUGCCUUGCAUGGCGGGAACUAAAUCAACUACACAGACCCAUACAUCCAGAGAGCAGAGGUGAGCUGGAUACAAGUGGCUUAGAGAUGUGGUGGAAGGAGGCCAGAGCUCCAAGGGAAGGGCAGCAAGGAGACAACAGCAUGGGUUGCAGCUCAGACAACAGGUAAAUAAAACCAAGCAAAGCUGCUGGUCACAGAUUUGACCAGGGUGGCAAGAAAUGACAAGCUACCAUGAGAUUCAACAGUGGCACGGAAGGAUGAUGAGAAGCAAACAGAUUAGGAGAAGCUGCCACCACCGUACAUAGAGGCACAGAUGACCAAGCAGAACAGCACCAGUCCCUGCAAGGUGUGCUCAGAUACAGCUCAGCACAGCCAUCUGGCCAGGAGGGAAUGAUAAUGCACAUGGUGUGCACUGCAGCCGGGAAGUUGAGAACCGCUGUGGGCACCUCAGGACUGAGUCUGGUUACCCUGCUGAUCCAAGAAAUGAAGCCAUCUAAAAUUUUGCCUGCUUUCACAAUUUUCUGUGUGUGUGUGUGUGUAUUAAACAAAGUGAACUAAGAAGC